GCGGGUAUUAUAUCAGGGGUGUAUGGAUGGGUGAAACUCUGAUACCCACAAAGGAAGGGUCAUUACAGGGGCAUGGCAGGGUGGUGCCAGGGAGCAUGGCCGGCCCUGAGUUACAUGUGACGCUGUGUUAUUGGUUUGCACCUUGCAGGAUUAAGGGGACCCCCCCAGCACGGUGGCAGGGGGCCCUCACAGCUGGGAAGAUCAAGGAAAACCCUGGGGACCAUCGCAGCAGCGGCCAGGCAUGGAGGAGGAGACCUGCACGCCUCUCGUCCCAUUUGCUACGCAGUCCAAGAUGGUCAGCCGAUAUGAACCAAAAGCCGACAUCACGGAGCUCCCCACCCAUCAGCGAGGCCCGUCUUACAACGCGGAUGAAUUCUGGAGCGGGCGUAGCCAGCGGCCAAGCCCGCACUGGAUGGAAGAAUACAGGGAAACCUCACCCCUGCUGAGGUCUAGCUCUGCCGUCCACAGGCCCAAUGUUCAGACAGAUGCAGACUCCUGGCACGUGCUGGCCAUCCCGCAGGCGCUCCCCUCUCCUCGGGAGCUGUGUCGGAGGAGAAGCAGCCAGCCGAAACGAAAGAGACCGGCGAACGGCAGCGUGAUGUCGGUCUGUUACCACCUGGAGGACUUGAAGAAAAGGCAAAGCAGCAUUGAUCAGCUGAAGAGGCUGAAAUGGGGUGGAUACGGAUCCCCAGCCAACUCUGAGGGGCUCGAAGGCGCCGCUGUCUCUCUAGCCGAAGAAUUGCAAAGCGGAAGAGACCUGCUGAGCCGUUUGACCAAGCCAAGACCUUCCUGGCUCUGUGAAGAGGACUCUUUUGUUAGCCGCAGCGGCAGCGGGCAGCGGAGCUGCAGCAUGGGAGAGCAGCAAGGGAUCCCCGAGGGAAGCCGGGUGGGCUCCUCCCUCGUGGCCAUGGCAGACCGACCCCAGCCGCCAGUCAGGUGCCUGCCUCAGGAAGCCUUCUGGGGCUUUGGGCACCAGCCAGAAGAGUGA
rnacentral:lncRNA from 1 species